CAAUGUGAUCUGAUGAAACACAUUUUUUUUUUUGCGUAUUGACAUUUAUACAUGUGCCAGGUACCAGUUCUGUAGCCAGGACAGAGAUUGCUGAAGUACAAAAUGCUGCCAAAGUCCUCAACUU